CCUUCGAUAGCUCAGCUGGAAGAGCGUGGGACUGUAAUUUGUAUCCUUAGCUUAAUGCUAUCCCAAGGCCGCUGGUUCGAUCCCGGCUCGAAGGA